AUGAUGAUGUGAAGACAGAAGC
rnacentral:misc_RNA from 1 species